AUUGAACGCUGGCGGCAGGCCUAACACAUGCAAGUCGAACGGUAACAGAAAGCAGCUUGCUGCUUUGCUGACGAGUGGCGGACGGGUGAGUAAUGUCUGGGAAACUGCCUGAUGGAGGGGGAUAACUACUGGAAACGGUAGCUAAUACCGCAUAACGUCGCAAGACCAAAGAGGGGGACCUUCGGGCCUCUUGCCAUCGGAUGUGCCCAGAUGGGAUUAGCUAGUAGGUGGGGUAAAGGCUCACCUAGGCGACGAUCCCUAGCUGGUCUGAGAGGAUGACCAGCCACACUGGAACGGAGACACGGUCCAGACUCCUACGGGAGGCAGCAGUGGGGAAUAUUGCACAAUGGGGGCAAGCCUGAUGCAGCAAUGCCGCGUGUAUGAAGAAGGCCUUCGGGUUGUAAAGUACUUUCAGCGGGGAGGAAGGGAGUAAAGUUAAUACCUGUGCUCAUUGACGUUACCCGCAGAAGAAGCACCGGCUAACUCCGUG
rnacentral:rRNA from 1 species